rnacentral:rRNA from 1 species
UACGUAGGGACCAAGCGUUGUUCGGAUUUACUGGGCGUAAAGGGCGCGUAGGCGGCGUGACAAGUCACUUGUGAAAUCUCUGAGCUUAACUCAGAACGGCCAAGUGAACCUGUUGUGCUAGAGUGCAGAAGGGGCAAUCGGAAUUCUUGGUGUAGCGGUGAAAUGCGUAGAUAUCAGGAGGAACACCGGUGGCGAAGGCGGGUCUCUGGGCCGAUACUGACGCUGAGGAGCGAAAGCGUGGGGAGCGAACAGG